GACGAACGCUGGCGGCGUGCUUAACACAUGCAAGUCGAACGAAGUGGCGAACGGGUGAGUAACGCGUAAUCAACCUGCCCUUCAGAGGGGGACAACAGUUGGAAACGACUGCUAAUACCGCAUACUGAAGGAGGGGCUUGCGUCUGAUUUGCUAGUUGGCGGGGUAACGGCCCACCAAGGCGAUGCUCAGUAGCCGGUCUGAGAGGAGGAACGGCCACAGUGGGACUGAGGAAAGGCCCAGACUCCUACAGGAGGACGCCAUGGGGAAACUUACGGAAUGGACGAAAGUCUUGCCGGAGAACGCCGCCGGAGUGAAGACGGUCGUCGGGUUGUAAAGGCUUGGUAAUCGGGACGCGGUACCGGAAUAGAAAGCCACGGCUAACUACGUGCCAGCAGCCGCGGUAAUAC
rnacentral:rRNA from 1 species